rnacentral:rRNA from 1 species
AACGAACGCUGGCGGCAUGCCUAACACAUGCAAGUCGAACGAAGGCUUCGGCCUUAGUGGCGCACGGGUGCGUAACGCGUGGGAAUCUGCCCCUCGGUUCGGAAUAACGGUUAGAAAUGACUGCUAAUACCGGAUGAUGACUUCGGUCCAAAGAUUUAUCGCCGAGGGAUGAGCCCGCGUAAGAUUAGGUAGUUGGUGGGGUAAAGGCCUACCAAGCCGACGAUCUUUAGCUGGUCUGAGAGGAUGAUCAGCCACACUGGGACUGAGACACGGCCCAGACUCCUACGGGAGGCAGCAGUGGGGAAUAUUGGACAAUGGGCGAAAGCCUGAUCCAGCAAUGCCGCGUGAGUGAUGAAGGCCUUAGGGUUGUAAAGCUCUUUUACCAGGGAUGAUAAUGACAGUACCCGGAGAAUAAGCUCCGGCUAACUCCGUGCCAGCAGCCGCAGUAA